rnacentral:rRNA from 1 species
CCCUUAGAUGUUCUGGGCCGCACGCGCGCUACAAUGAUGCGUUCAACGAGCACCAAACCUUGGCCGGAAGGUCUAGGUAAACUUUGAAACCGCAUCGUGCUGGGGAUAGAUGAUUGCAAUUGUUCAUCUUCAACGAGGAAUUCCUAGUAAACGCAAGUCAUCAGCUUGCAUUGAUUACGUCCCUGCCCUUUGUACACACCGCCCGUCGCUACUACCGAUUGAAUGGUUUAGUGAGCUUCAUGGACCGGUCCGUGUGAUGGGUUUCCCUUUGCACGUGGCUGGAAAGUGAAUCAAACUUGAUCAUUUAGAGGAAGUAAAANUCGUANCA